rnacentral:lncRNA from 1 species
GUGAGAUUUCUUGUUGAUGUGGAAGCAUGACAACUAAGAGACAUGUAUAGCAGCUUCAGAGCUCCAAAGGUGCUGCUAUUAGAUUUAUUGGAUGAGAAGCUCUUCUGUUGCAUCACCUGCCCCAAAAGUGCUUUUGUCAGACCACCUGUUGAAGGAUUCGGAUCUCCAGACAAGGAACGUGCAUGGUGAAGAUAAAUCUUUCAGGUACAUAAGCCAAUUGUGAUGAUUAAGAACACAAUUUUUCAUUUAGAACCGAACUCUCAAAAUCAUUAUAUUCAGUAAGGAAAUAAAGAAACUUUUGUACACUGUGGAUCUUAUUCUAUUGGUAAACUGACCUCAGGGUUCUCUAUUUUGCAGGGACAUGUAUGUAAUUUGCCAAAAGGAAUAAAAUCUACCAACUUCGAGGAAGCUACGAGCAUCGAGAUCGGACUCAGAACAGCCUAUCUCAAAGCCCAAUCAUAAAUCAGAGUGCAACAGUCAUAUAGGCAUUCGAUACAUGAUCAUAUUAAAUAGUCUUAUUCAUGGGGAAGCCACGAUGAGGUUGACAAGGUUGGCUUGGACGUGGAGUGCGCAACAUGGUCAGUUCCCCCCUUCUCUCUCCCUCUCUUUCUUUGGCUUUUUGCGUUGAAAUGACUAUUGGCAGAGGCUUCACCGAGAAUCUGAUAUGAUCCAAAAGCGUAGAGAUCAAAGCAGGAAAAGAACUGCUGCUUUUCUCAACGAGUCUCCCCCGCCAUUGAUGGUCUGAUGUGAUCUUAAGAAGAACACCUCGUCCUUUCCCUGUGAAGGCUAGUGCAUAGCUGCGCCCUCAACCGUGUAAGUUAUUGUCCCCUUCGUUCUUCAUCUUGCACGCAACCUUUGGCUAAACCGGACGACGAUUGACGGGUGAUCGGACCGGCUGAGGGUUUGGCCGUGGCCGGAGUGCGAAGGGGUACGUGGAAAUACGAGCUCAGACUUGGUUUUCCGAGCUGUGUGACCUUUGGACGCAACAGUGAGAAGGCUGUUGAUGCGUGUCAGGUCUGUUUCCUGCCGGAUUCUAACUAGUGUAUCACCACGAGAGAGAGAGAGAGAGAGAGAGAGAGAGAUAUAUAUAUAUAUAUAUAUAUAUAUAUAUAUAUAUAUAUAUAUAUAUAUAUAUAUAUAUAUGUAGG